CAGGGAUUACCUCAGUAACGGCGAGUGAAGCGGUAACAGCUCAAAUUUGAAAUCUGGGCCCCUCGGGCCCCGAGUUGUAAUUUGGAGAAGAUGCUUCGGGUGCGGCGCCGGUCUAAGUUCCUUGGAACAGGACGUCACAGAGGGUGAGAAUCCCGUAUGUGAUCGGCCGCCUGCGCCCGUGUGAAGCUCUUUCGACGAGUCGAGUUGUUUGGGAAUGCAGCUCAAAAUGGGUGGUAUAUUUCAUCUAAAGCUAAAUAUUGGCCAGAGACCGAUAGCGCACAAGUAGAGUGAUCGAAAGAUGAAAAGCACUUUGGAAAGAGAGUUAAACAGUACGUGAAAUUGUUGAAAGGGAAGCGCUUGCGACCAGACUUGCGCGGGGCCGAUCAUCCGGGGUUCUCCCUGGUGCACUCGGCCUCGCUCAGGCCAGCAUCGGUCCUGGUGGCUGGAUAAAGGCCUUGGGAAUGUAGCUUCUCUCGGGGAGUGUUAUAGCCCUCGGCGCAAUGCAGCCUACUGGGACCGAGGACCGCGCUUCGGCUAGGAUGCUGGCGUAAUGGUCGCAAGCGACCCGUCUUGAAACACGGACCAAGGAGUCUAACAUCUAUGCGAGUGUUUGGGUGCCAAACCCAUCCGCGUAAUUAACGUGAACGGAGGUGAGAGCCCUGGAGGGUGCAUCACCGACCGGUCCUGAUGUCUUCGGAUGGAUCUGAGUAGGAGCAUAGCUGUUGGGACCCGAAAGAUGGUGAACUAUGCCUGAAUAGGGUGAAGCCAGAGGAAACUCUGGUGGAGGCUCGCAGCGGGUUCUGACGUGCAAAUCGAUCGUCAAAUUUGGGUAUAGGGGCGAAAGACUAAUCGAACCAUCUAGUAGCUGGUUCCUGCCGAAGUUUCCCUCAGGAUAGCAGUGUUGUAUUCAGUUUUAUGAGGU
rnacentral:rRNA from 1 species